GACGUAGGGCGCGAGCGUUUGUCCGGAUUUAUUGGGCGUAAAGAGCUCGUAGGCGGCUUGUCGCGUCGUUCGUGAAAACCUGCAGCUCAACUGCAGGCUUGCGGUCGAUACGGGCAGGCUAGAGUUCGGUAGGGGAGACUGGAAUUCCAGGUGUAGCGGUGAAAUGACGUAGAUAUCUGGAGGAACACCGGUGGCGAAGGCGGCAUCCUGGACCGGCAUUGACGCUGAGGAGCGAAAGCCAGGGGAGCAAACGGG
rnacentral:rRNA from 1 species